rnacentral:lncRNA from 10 species
UGAACUGGUCCUGAUUCCUGAAGAGCCUGUCUUUCUGCUCACUCAUCCCUCAUUCAGUCACCACACACACAGCCAUGCACAUCACCUCUGCUCUGGUCACAUGCACAUGCCCACACCUACCCUCAGGAUCUCAGAGCCCUGAGUCACCAUGAAAGAUUUCUGGCCACCCUGCUGAAGAGGCCACAUGGGGAGGCCACAUGGAGAGGAGGAGAGGUCCACUGAUCCAGCAUUUUAGUUGAGCUUCCAGCUGACUCCAGCCUCAAGCUUUAUCUGAAUGCACCUGCAUGAGAGACUUCUAAGCAAGACCAGCAGAAGAUCCACCCGCUGAUCCCAGACAACCCAUGGAACCAUGAGAGAGCCAAUAAAAUUGUGGUGGUUUUAAAGCCACUGAGCUUUGGAGUGGUUUGUGAUACAAUGAUAAAUAACAAAAGCAAUCUCACUGAUGGUGAGUCUGGCUGGCAUUCCUGAGCCUUGUGCCAC